GGGGUGAGUGCCUCUUCCGGGGCGAGCGGUGUGGUGCACGCAUUGCUGUGUUCUAACUCCCUCAGGGGCUGUGUUGUCGCACUGUCUGCUGCUAUGAGCUUCCUCAAAAGUUUCCCGCCGCCUGGGCCGGCGGAGGGGCUCCUGCGGCAACAACCAGACACCGAGGCUGUGCUGAACGGGAAGGGCCUCGGCACUGGUACCCUUUACAUCGCUGAGAGCCGCCUGUCUUGGUUAGAUGGUUCUGGAUUAGGAUUCUCACUGGAAUACCCCACCAUUAGUUUACAUGCAUUAUCCAGGGACCGAAGUGACUGUCUAGGAGAGCAUUUGUAUGUUAUGGUGAAUGCCAAAUUUGAAGAAGAAUCAAAAGAACCUGUUGCUGAUGAAGAAGAGGAAGACAGUGAUGAUGAUGUUGAACCUAUUACUGAAUUUAGAUUUGUGCCUAGUGAUAAAUCAGCAUUGGAGGCAAUGUUCACUGCAAUGUGUGAGUGCCAGGCCUUGCAUCCAGAUCCUGAGGAUGAGGAUUCAGAUGACUACGAUGGAGAAGAAUAUGAUGUGGAAGCGCAUGAACAAGGACAGGGGGACAUCCCUACAUUUUACACCUAUGAAGAAGGAUUAUCCCAUCUAACAGCAGAAGGCCAAGCCACAUUGGAGAGGUUAGAAGGAAUGCUCUCUCAGUCUGUGAGCAGCCAGUAUAAUAUGGCUGGGGUCAGGACAGAAGAUUCAAUAAGAGAUUAUGAAGAUGGGAUGGAGGUGGAUACCACACCAACAGUUGCUGGACAGUUUGAGGAUGCAGAUGUUGAUCACUGAAAAUGAUUUAUGCAGGUUUAAGAUUCUGCUCCUAACUGUAGGAGAGAACUUGGUGCCUCUUCCACUCUGGAGUGAUGCUGAUGGAAGUCUUUUUCCUUUUCCACAACCCAACCUGAACCAGUUCCUUCUUGAGACAGACUAUACUGAGACAAUAAGUUGUCACCAGCAGAAGAUAGAUAAUAUGACCUUUAUUAACUUGAUGAAUUAACUUAACCAAGAGGGUAUUUGUAGUUUAUUAUUUACCCCAAAACUUUCUGUGUCUGGGUACCCUCUGAGUAGGCCUAUAAUUCCUGCCUUGACUAUGUGCAUCUUUUGUAAGCUAGCAGAUUUUUGUGGUGAAAAUGCACAGGAGCUUGGUGUAGGUAGACUGGGUAGGAAAGAGAGAGCUCCUUUUGCCAUGUUUUAUGAGUCUGCUGUUAUAAACUCUUAGGUUAUAUCCUUUAAUUUCCAGCCUUUUAGGUUAGUUUCUGUAACAGAGCAAGUGAGUCUUGGAUGAAGUCCUCAAAGUACUUCAAAUGGCUGGAGUGCAGUGGCAUGAUCUUGGCUCACCACAACCUAAGCCUCCCGGAUUUAAGCAAUUCUUCUGCAUCAGCCUCCUGAGUAGCUGGGAUUACAGGCAUGUGCCACCACACCCCGCUGAUUUUGUAUUUUUAGUAGAGACAGGGUUUCUCCAUGUUGGUCAGACUGGUCUCGAACUCCCGACCUCAAGUGAUCCGCCUGCCUUGGCCUCCCAAAGUGCUGGGAUUACAGGCGUGAGCCAUCGUGCCCGGCCUAAGCAGAAAAUGUUUAUUAUAAAGCUAUCUGGUAGCUCACUAAAUGGACAGGAAAGUUGAAAUAAACCAGGCUUAUAAAAAGAUGAAAUCUACAGUAGAUGUUACGAUUCCUCCGCUGCUGUUAGACUGAUUUCUUGAUUGUCCCUGUGUCUAUGAGUCACCACACUUAAGAUACAAACUUCUGGUUGGCACUGUGUGUCUUCAUUGCCAAGGGCAGAAGGAGUAUCUGGGCCUUUCAGCUUCUGCAAUAGAAGGACACUGCUCCUAUGCAGAUGCUCACAGGAGUGGAUUAUGCCAGAUAAGAAGGAUGCUUAGAUGCUGGAUUACAAAAAAUGUACAGCUGUCUACUACAACCCCAAAUCUU